rnacentral:lncRNA from 1 species
GUGACGCCCGGGUAAUCAAGCUACAGUAAACCUUCAUUAAUGAUGCCAGGUCAUCAUGAUUAAAAUUUUGCUAAACCUCACGUGUUUCAAACUUAGUUCAAAUACAAAUUCAAAUAACAAGUCAAAUUAUAGUUUCAUAAAACAGUGAAUUAAAAAUGUUCAAAGGGUUAUAAAUAUUCACUAACUAAUUAGCAAAUAACAUCCAACAUUAUAUAGAAUGUUUAAUUGCCCUAAAACAAUUAAAACAAUGACCAAAACAGCCUCAUUAAUCCAUUUUCAUUUAUGCACAAUUCAAAUGCUCAUCAAACCUUUUUGUGGCAGUGCCUAAAAUGGCUAUGCUAAUUUAGGACAAGUCUCAUACUUAACUAAAAGUCAUUUGCUUUUGUAAAUAAAAAUAAAACAGAAAAAGAAAAGAAAAAGAAAACAGAAUUGGAAAAUGAAACAACUAUACUACUGUGCACUAAGCCUAGUACUGUGCACUAGUCCUGCUAGCUAUACGGGAGGCCCAGCCCAACUUGUAACUCUCCUUCCUCCUCUGUUCAUAGAGGGGAGGUGGACGCCGGGCAGCCGCCUAUGGCCGCGAUGGCCACAUGCCGGCCAUCCGUCGCGCCCCCGUCGACCUACAAAGCGUCGACCCGCACCCUGAAACCCUAGCCCGCCUUCCCGUUCCCCACACAUGCGUCGUUUCCUCUCUACUCACCUCGCCGAGCGCCUCCAUGGCCGCGUCGUCAACAUGCACGCGGCCACCGGCCACCGUCCUCCACACCGACGGGUCCAGGAGGUCCACCGUGGACGAGUUCGUCGCUUGCGCCCUCGAGAACAAGCCGGAGAGCCCCGCAGCGCCGCCAUCGCCUUGUUCCGCACCGCCUCGGCCACCGUCGAUCCGCGGCGGACACCACCGCUUCGACGCCACCCCGACCUUCCCGAGUCUUCUGCGAGCAUCGCUGUGAGCCCCGCAUACUUUCCCCUUUCCUCCAUAGCUCGAACUCGCACCGUAGCCACCUCCCCUGCUCGAGUCCGGCGCCGCAGUCCACCAUGGCCUAUUCGUCGCUAGCGCCCGAGCUCCUCUGCUCCGUCCGAGCGCUCCAGCACGCUCCGGGUGAGCUAUAGGUCCGAUUUAGCUAGUUAGGUAGCCCGUUCGCGUUGCGUUUGGCGGUUUUUCAUUUGAGCCGAGCUCCGCCGCCGUCGUAUCCUCCCGUGGCCGCGCCUGGAGCACUACUCCCGCGUGCGCCCGCGCGAGCCCCUUGCCGUCCCUGGCCUUGCCCCCGUGCGGCUAUCGCUGCUACGACCGCGCCCUCCCCAGACGCACCAGGGCUUUGCCCUCCUCACGCCGCGCCUCGCCGGGCCCUCCCGCUGACCACUGGCCGCUCGCCCCGCCGCCUCACAGCACCCCCCUGCCGCUUGCGCCCUCCGCCGUGGCCUCUGGCCACCGACGUCUAACCACCGGCCUAAAUGGCCAUUAAGGCACUAACCCCCCUCUAACCCAAUGACAUGUGGGCACCUUCCGCCUAACUUUUUGGUUAAAAAAUAUAUAAUCUAAGUGGUGCCUAUGACAGUGGGGCCCCAGCCCUAAUUAGUUUAAUUUAAACACUUUGUGAAAGUUAUGAGGCACUGACCGUGGGACCCCCCGGUCCCCGUUGACCAGUCAACGUUGACUGCUGGCUGGGCAGUCAACGGGGCCCACUGUCAGCCCUUGUACACGGAUGGGUGCACUGGACCGGGUGCUCCUAGCCUUUUCCUUUUAUUUUUCGAAAUUAAAUAAGUUCUAGGAUAUUUGUAAAACUUUGAAAAAUCAUAUAAAAUAAUCUGUAACUCGGAUGAAAAUACUUUGUACAUGAAAGUUGCUCGGAACGACGAGACGAAUCCGAAAACAUGCAACUUUUUUCCUUCGGUUCAUCUGUCCGAAAACGCAAAGCACGGGGAAUACUUUCCCGGAUGUUUCCCCCCUUCGCCGGUAUUACCCAUCCCUGCGUUAGAUCACCUCUAGCACCGCGUAUUGCCAUGUUAUGCUUUGUGAUGCUUUGACUACUAUGUUAUUUAUUGUGUUCCCCCUCCGUUACUUCUUUCCGGUUGACCCCGAGACCGCUGCCGGCAUCCUGUGACCGACUACAUCGACGACGAACCCUUCUUGCCAGAGCAACCAGGCAAGCCCCCCCUCUUGAUCACCAGUUAUCGCCUAUUCUUCUCUAUACUGCUUGCAUUAGAGUAGUGUAGCAUGUUACUGCUUUCCGUUAAUCCUAUUCUACUGCAUAGCCUGUCUUUGCCACUACUGUUGUUACCUUUACCUGCAAUCCUAAAUACUUAGUAUAGGAUGCUAGUAUUCCAUCAGUGGCCCUACACUCUUGUCCAUCUGCCAUGCUAUACUACUGGGCCGUGAUCACUUCGGGAGGUGAUCACGGGCAUAUGCUAUAUACUUUAUACUGUUACAUUACUUAUGAUACUGUUCAGAGAUGGGGGCUGAAGGGGUAGGUGGCCAUCCCGGUAGAGGUGGGCCUGGGUUCCCGACGGCCCCCGACUGUUACUUUGUGGCGGAGCGACAGGGCAGGUUGAGACCACCUAGGAGAGAGGUGGGCCUGGCCCUGGUUGGUGUUCGCGGAUACUUUAAUUAACACGCUUAACAAGAUCAUGGUAUUUGAUCUGAGUCUGGCCACUGGCCUAUACGCACUAACCAACUACAUGGGAACAGUUAUAGGCACUCGACAUCGUGGUAUCAGCCGAAGCCUUUGUGACGUCAGCGACUGAGCGGCGCGCGCCGGGUUGGACUAGAACGCUUGCUCUUGUAUAAGGGAGGCUAGGUCUGCUCACCGACCGCGUACGAAACGUGCAGGUGCGCAAUGGGCGAUGGGCCCAGACCCCUGCGCGCAUAGGAUUUAGACCGGCGUGCUGACCUCUCUGUUGUGCCUAGGUGGGGCUGCGAAGUGUUGGUCUUCCGAGGCCGGGCAUGACCCAGGAAAGUGUGUCCGGCCAAAUGGGAUCGAGCGUGUUGGGUAAUGUGGUGCACCCCUGCAGGGAAGUUUAUCUAUUCGAAUAGUCGUGUCCCUCGAUAAAAGGACGACCCGGAGUUGUACCUUGACCUUAUGACAACUAGAACCGGAUACUUAAUAAAACACACCCUUCCAAGUGCCAGAUACAACCCGGUGAUUGCUCUCUCACAGGUCGACGAGGAGAGGAUCGUCGAGUAGGAUUAUGCUAUGCGAUGCUACUUGGAGGACUUCAAUCUACUCUCUUCUACAUGCUGCAAGGCGGAGGCUGCCAGAAGCGUAGUCUUCGAUAGGACUAGCUAUCCCCCUCUUAUUCUAGCAUUCUGCAGUUCAGUCCACCGAUAUUGCCUCUUUACACAUAUACCCAUGCAUAUGUAGUGUAGAUCCUUGCUUGCGAGUACUUUGGAUGAGUACUCACGGUUGCUUUUCUCCCUCUUUUCCCCCUUUCCAUUCUACCUGGUUGUCGUAACCAGAUGUUGGAGCCCAGGAGCCAGACGCCAAUGUCGAUGAUGACUCCUACUACACUGGAGGUGCCUACUACUACGUGCAGGCCGCUGACGACGACCGGGAGUAGUUUAGGAGGAUCCCAGGCAGGAGGCUUGCGCCUCUUUCGAUCUGUAUCCCAGUUUGUGCUAGCCUUCUUAAGGCAAACUUGUUUAACUUAUGUCUGUACUCAGAUAUUGUUGCUUCCCCUGACUCGUCUAUGAUCGAGCACUUGUAUUCGAGCCCUCUAGGCCCUUGGCUUGUAUUAUGAUGCUUGUAUGACUUAUUUUAUUUUUAGAGUUGUGUUGUGAUAUCUUCCCGUGAGUCCCUGAUCUUGAUCGUACAUGUUUGCGUGUAUGAUUAGUGUACGAUUGAAUCGGGGGCGUCACAAGUUGGUAUCAGAGCCGACUGCCUGUAGGAAUCCCCUUCCACACUCCUUGGCCGAAGUCGAGUCUAGACAUUGCAAAACUUUUACUAACAUGGUUGUGUGUCUUACGAGCCCAAGUCGCCGUUGGGUGGUAUUAGAUCUUUUAUUCCUCGUAUAUACUCUGAGACUUUGAUCUCUCUACUAUUCGGGUUAAAUGAAUUUGCUAACUCUGACAUUAGGAUCUCGUGAUCGCAUCCACCCAAAGAGCCCCUUAUUGCAGAGGAUCGUCUGCUGCAUCGGAAGAUUCCGAACAUACUCUCUGAUGUUCUCUCGAGACUCUGUGCCCAUCGCUUUUGCAAUCCCCUACCACCGAUACAUCCCUAUGGAUAAAUACUUACACCUGACCUUCUUACUUCCAUUCCCAGCUGCUCUUGUUAUGACAAGAUGCAUCAAAUUAUUCUUUGACUAUUAAGAAUCUCUUGAGCCACUGCCUUACAGAUCUUUGUCGCAUGAAUAUCCCUACGGAUAAUUCCUCGCACUUAUCAGGUAUCCGCUCAUUCCCAGUUGUUCAUGUGUUUCGCAAAAGACUUUGAAAUACUAUUUGAUCUUUCAAAAAUCCUCAACAGCCUGUUGUUCUUGAAAUUCUUGCUUGCUUGCAUUAUGGUUAAUCCCAUAAGUAUAGUAACCUUAUUGGCACCCUUUAUCACUAUCAUUUUUGAGUCCAUUGAUUUAAUAAGUUGUGAAUGUUCACAAUCACCAGUCGAAUCCUAGGAUUAUCCUUCCGGCUCAGACAUCCUUUGGAUAUGAGCUGGUUCUUGACCAAUCAAUGCCUUGAUCGGUUGUGCUUCUAAGUCUAUUGAACUUAUUCAUUUUCGAUCAGAACGAUUGCUUCUGAUCCCUUGAUUUGGAAAUCAUAAAAUUUCUUUUGCAUUAAGCUUUGAAUUAGUCAGUUGUUUCUAUAAUCUGAUGCCUUGGCAUUCCUUCUUCCUCUGAUUGAGUACCAAUACUCACAUCAGCCCCGUUGUGGACCGCCAGACCAAUUGCUUGGUUAUUAUCCGACCGUGUCCUUCAUUUCCAAUAACCUUGAGAGUUUCUCCCUUGAUACAUAAUGCCUUUGGUAAAUUGUGUCUUCUGCCUUUGACAAGUUAUAUCCUAUGCCUUUGUCAACCAUGCUCUGCUUUGAGCACGUGUUAAUUGAUCCUAAAGUUCAUGGUAUAUGUUCUAAGAUGCCCCGAUGGGUUGAACCUAUGCCUUCCUUAAUCUGUGUGAACCUGAAAGUUUUCACAGGUCAUACUCCUCUGGUAAUUCACCAGGUAGGUUUUGACACUGAAAUCAUUUUUAUUUAGAGGAGUGAAUGAAAGGUUAUGCAUUGGAGAAGUGGGAGUCGACCUUGAACUUUGUGUUCAUGCCCAUGGACACGAUGUAGAACUAAUCAUGGAAGCUGCUCAUGAAAAUAAUUACCCCCUUGUUAUGAGUUCAUCUUGUAUCCGUGGUUUGAUCAUUUAUGAUUGUGGUUCCGACCAUAAUUUCUUCCUUUGAUACCAUUUCUCGUGCAAGUUUAAGCUCUUGUCUUCUGCAGAGCAAUACCCUAGCCAACCUCUACUUUGAUCUCUCAUCGAGUAUUACCCCCUGGUAUCUCAAGAUUAUCUUGGAACUGCAUAACUUCUUAUGGGUUCUUCAUCAACUGUUCUGAUUCCAAUUUUCCUGGGUUCUGGGUUGUCGUCAACCGAGAACACCAAAUAGUGAACCGAGUCCGCAAUCUGAUUCAAUAACUCUGAGUAAUUUUCGUUGCUUAUGAGUUUAAAAAUCCUUCAAGUCAUCCCAAGCCUGAUCAGCUAUAUCAUUAUCGUGCUAAAUUUUAACUGUGCUACUUGGUCCUUAUUCCCGGAGCACAACUUUUGACGAUGAGCCAAGCUUACGUCGAUCUUCCUCGUCUUAUCAUUUCGCCUUGAACAUCACGCUUGAUUCCGAGUGUGUGUCGUAUCCGUGGUUCCAAUGAGCCUUCGCUUCACCAUUGCUUUUUCUUGAUGUCAUCGCUGUUCGAUUGCUUCUUCGUGAAAUCUCUCGACAAUUGUGUCGUGAUCAUCAUCAACAUUUUGAGCUCUUCCAGGAUAUCAAUUGAAUUCUUGAAGAGGAAUACCAUCCUUGCCCUCGAUGAUUAGUGUUAUCAUCGACCACUUUAUUGCCUUCCUUUCAACACAAACUUGUUCGUGUUUCGUGUUAUACCUUGAGAUCCAUGCUAUCCAGCAAUUGUUCUUCUUUACCUUGGAGUAUUACCAUCUUUUAUGUCAAUAAUGUCGUGAGAAUUUCACUACCUAUUAUGCAUUCUUGGUACAAGUGAUACUUCCUGCCAUCUUCGAUCAUUCCUUGGUCCCCGUGUUGUUUCUAAUCGGAAAACCAACAAUUGAACUAUGCUGUGCGACUUAAAAAUUCUAGCAACCCUAUUGAUUUGAAGUUAACGGUCGAUAGUUUCAUUCUAAGUCUAUUUCUUAUUGAAUCAUCAUUCAAACAUUGAUCGUGCUACCCAGUCCAGAUUUCAGGGUGCACCCUUCUAUCAUUGUUAACUUGUGUAUGUUUUCCUCGAUCAUACAUCAUUAUACCAUUUGAUUUGACAAAUGUUAUCUCCUUGUUCACAUGAUUGUGGAAAUCCAUCUUUUUGGAAUUCUCAAUGGAUUGGCGCUGAGUCCAUCAGUCACCUCCUCACUCUCUCCUUGAUUUAAUGAUGAACUCUUGUUUCAAAACUCGCUACCAUAGUUCAUUUCCCGAGGAUCUUACAAUGUCAUCUUGUCAAUUUGUGUUGCACCUUUUCUUCUCAGACAUCUUGAGUCUGAGGUAUCCUGACACCAAUCAGAUCUGAAUCUCGGUCAGAUAGGAUGGUUGGAACAUUUUUCCAAGAGUUAUAGCAUAGGUCUUUAUAUGACCCGGUAAGGUGAGGUCAUGCCUAGCACACCUGGCUAGGGGAGCCAUUGUUAUAAUACCCCCCCCCCCCUUCAGCAAGGUUAGCGAUUCUUCCAUGAGGAAAUCGUAAGACUUAUUCUAUAAGUUGUUCCUGAGGGAUCCUUUGUGUAUCCAAAAUCCGACCCUUGAUGACCAUGUCAAUGCUAUCUCGAAGCAUGUCUGUGGUACUCGGAUCAUCAAUAAGAUCAUUUGUAGCACAAUGCUAAAUUUUCCUUAUCAAUUAUCCAAACACCUUUGUAUGAGUAAUGCCAUGAAUAUUCUCUCCCAUUACCUAAAUGGUUUUCUGCGUUAUAUCCUGUCAUAGAUAUCAUGUUAUGCUUGUCCUUGGGAAGCAUAUACCCCUGAAAUAUGUGUUUAAACACAUUCUUCCUUUCCAUUGUUCUGUUUAAUCUGAUGAUCACCUUUUGCUUUCCAUUGUUUUGUUUAACCUUACUGGUGAUCUAUAUGAUCUAAGCAGUAAUAUUCUCCUGCUUAGGUAAGCACCUCGUUGAGCCACUCUGUCAGUAAGACCCUGUUAAUAUUGUUGAUAAUAUUCCGGUAACCACCGAUGGACGAGAACUUUACCUAUUGGUCCGCCUCGUUCAACGAGCAGGAAGAUGGUUCUCUUCGUCCCUCGCCCUUGGUACCUACGUUGCCGACAUAAUUGAUAGGCUAUCCUCUGACAUGUCUUAUUAUCAUGACUGUGAAAAAUAUCACCGCCCUUUCUACUUUAAACCCACACGGUGGGCCCAUAACCCAGAGUUCCACAGGAUCAAAACCUGACUCUGUUGUACACCCUGUUUUCAAAGUUAUUCCUCGCGCUUGACUUCGUAUGUAAUUCAUGGGUCAUCUUCCUAGUAAUCUACUUUGGUAUCAGACGCAAUACUUAUUCUCGUUGCUCUGGACCCCUUUCGCAUGUUGUUUCAGACAUCGAACGAUUGCCUAUCCGUUUGAAACUUCUCAUGGUACCUUCUUACUUUGCUCUCGAUACCUUCUUAAGUUUCAAUUCGGGACAUACUUAUGCUUCUUCCCCUGAGUUAACCAUCCGAUGCUCAAUUUUGUUAGAAUCCGUCCUUAUAGAGUUUUUUCCCCUCUUAUCCUUUCGUAAGUACGGUGAAGAUCCUAAAGGAAGGACGACAACUUCAUCAUGAUGCAUUGAUGCAUAGGAAUGAAGACAUCAAUGCUAUGGAUCGACCUCUUUCAGAAGAGCAACUAAGACUGAGAAAAUUUGUUAGAAUUUCGUAACCAAAUCCGUUCCCCCUUACUCCCCCUCUUAAAUCUCGGGACGAGAUUUCUUGUAGUGGAGGAGAUUUGUGAUGCCCAGGUAAUCAAGCUACAGUAAACCUUCGUUAAUGAUGUCGGGUCAUCAUGAUUAAAAUUUUUCUAAACCUCACGUGUUUCAAACUUAGUUCAAACAGAAAUUCAAAUACAAAUUCAAAUAACAAGUCAAAUUAUAGUUUCAUAAAACAGUGAAUUAAAAAUGUUCAAAGGGUUAUACAUAUUCACUAACUAAUUAGCAAAUAACAUCCAACAUUAUAUAGAAUGUUUAAUUGCGCUAACACAAUUAAAACAAUGACAAAAACAGCCUCAUUAAUCCAUUUUCAUUUAUGCACAAUUCAAAUGUUCAUCAAACCUUUUUGUGGCAGUGCCUAAAAUGGCUAUGCUAAUUUAGGACAAGUCUCAUACUUAACUAAAAGUCAUUUGCUUUUGUAAAUAAAAAGAAAACAGAAACAGAAAA